UACGUAGGGUGCGAGCGUUGUCCGGAAUUAUUGGGCGUAAAGCGCGUGUAGGCGGCUUACUAAGUCUGAUGUGAAAUCCCGGGGCUUAACUCCGGAACUGCAUCGGAUACUGGUGAGCUAGAGGACGAGAGAGGGUGAUGGAAUUCCAGGUGUAGGGGUGAAAUCCGUAGAUAUCUGGAGGAACAUCGGUGGCGAAGGCGGUCACCUGGCUCGUAUCUGACGCUGAGACGCAAAAGCGUGGGGAGCAAACAGG
rnacentral:rRNA from 1 species